UUCUAAGUUCUUUUUCCAUGAUUUAGGUUGGAUUUGAGCUGUGAUUCGGGUGGAUUUUGUGUUCUGGCUUUAUUCCAGUACUAUUGGAUUCACCUUCAAAAAAUAAGGUCUACGAGUUCUCAUAUAAAUUUACUCUCUUUUAUGGAAAAUCAGUAGUCAAUUUUAUAGCAAGAAUGAGUGGUUGGGUUGAAGGACCAAGAAUGGUAUAGAAUGUUGCUGAGUCAUGUACUAUAUUGAUUAGCUAUGGGCAUGGUUGCCACUUAAUUUUCUUAAGUCUGCCUUUAAUUUCUAAGUGAGUUCCCUGCUUUUGACUUUAUCUUAGUCUAGCUGAUUGCAAUCCGGCCGUUAGUGUGAUGUGGAAUAAAUGCAUGUCAUUUCGUUCAGUAUGUAUUUCAUGGUUUUGGACAGGUCAAUCCUUUCAGAUUACUAUGCAGUAUAUGAGUUUCUGUGGCUGCCCAUGUGAAUUUAGCCUGUCUUGCAUGAAGGUAGUAAUGAAUUGAAUAGGAAAAGUUGGUUGUUCAGUUGAAGGAUGGGGAAUGGGUUAGAGUGUUGGAUACUGUUUGCAAUCUAAUUUUUUUUCUUCCUUUUUGGCAUUCUUUACAUUGUAAUAUCCAGCUUUGUCGUGAAGCUACCUAAUAAGAUAGCAUGAGAUUUACGAUAAUUGUGCAGAGGCUGAUGGUGCUUUGGAUAAAGCGAGAAAAGACGAGAAGAAGCACCUUGAAGACACACUGAAUCUUCUUCUUAAGAAGAGGAAGUAAUAGCAGCUUAAAGAAGAGAUUGAAAGGUCUAUGUCACAUAAUUGGCUUUGCUCUUGCCCAAGUAUAACCUGAGGGCCAAGUUUUAUGUAGAAUGUCGGAUGAGUUUGAACAAAUUUCUUGUUGUUUUGUGGGCGGUUUCUUCUUCCUAAGGCAUUUACUGAGUUUAACUAGCAGAGAAAGAAAAAGGAAGAGGGGCAAGGCAAAAUAGGGUGCAGAUACACACCGCUACAGAUUUCAUUUCUUGGUUGAGGGAUUGAGGUGUUUUUCUUUUUUAUGGUCUUGAGUUUGGAAGCUGAAAUGAGCCGUCUGUUUGCCUUGCUUGGUCUAUGUUUUGGACAUAAACUCUUUCUGACUAUUACAUACAGAGUAUUUUUCUGUACUCUUAGCGUUCAUGAUAAUAG